CGAUUCCGGAGAGGGAGCAUGAGAAAUGGAUACCACAUCUACGGAAGGCAGCAGGCGCACAAAUUACCCACUCCUAGAACGGGGAGGUAGUGACGAAAAAUAACAAUACCGGACUCUAAGAGGCUCGGUAAUUGAAAUGAGUACAGUUUAAAACCCUUAACGAGGAUCUAUUGGAGGGCAAGUCUGGUGCCAGCAGCCGCGGUAAUUCCAGCUCCAAUAGCGUAUAUUAAAGUUGUUGCAGUUAAAAAGCUCGUAGUUGGAUCUCGGGUACUAGCAUGUGGUACGCUUUACUGCUGUUACUACAUGUCUGGUCCUAAUCAAUCGGUUGGCCGUUGAUGCCCUUCAUUGGGUGUUUUCGGUAGCCGGUACGUUUACUUUGAGAAAAUUAGAGUGCUUAAAGCAGGCUAUACGCCUGAAUAAUGUUGCAUGGAAUAAUAGAAUAGGACCUCGGUUUUAUUUUGUUGGUUUUGUAGAGCAUUGAGGUAAUGAUUAAUAGGGACAGACGGGGGCAUUCGUAUUGCGGUGUUAGAGGUGAAAUUCUUGGAUCGCCGCAAGACGAACAACUGCGAAAGCAUUCCCAAGAAUGUUUUCAUUAAUCAAGAACGAAAGUUGGAGGUUCGAAGACGAUUAGAUACCGUCCUAGUUCCAACCAUAAACGAUGCCAACUAGCAAUUAGCUGCUGUUAAUUAAACGACACAGCUAGCGGCUUCCGGGAAACCAAAGUUUUUGGGUUCCGGGGGAAGUAUGGUUGCAAAGCUGAAACUUAAAGGAAUUGACGGAAGGGCACCACCAGGAGUGGAGCCUGCGGCUUAAUUUGACUCAACACGGGAAAUCUCACCCGGCCCGGACACUGUAAAGAUUGACAGAUUGAGAGCUCUUUCUUGAUUCGGUGGGUGGUGGUGCAUGGCCGUUCUUAGUUGGUGGAGCGAUUUGUCUGGUUAAUUCCGAUAACGAACGAGACUCUAGCCUGCUAAAUAGUACGCCGAUCUUUUGUCGGCGCGUACUUCUUAGAGGGACAAGUAGCGGUUAGCUACACGAAAUUGAGCAAUAACAGGUCUGUGAUGCCCUUAGAUGUUCGGGGCCGCACGCGCGCUACACUGAAGGGAUAAGCGUGUUUUUCCUGCUCUGAAAAGAGUGGGUAACCCGCUGAAACCCCUUCGUGAUUGGGAUCGGGGCUUGAAAUUAUUCUCCGUGAACGAGGAAUUCCCAGUAAGCGCGAGUCAUAAGCUCGCGUUGAUUACGUCCCUGCCCUUUGUACACACCGCCCGUCGCUACUACCGAUUGAAUGGUUUAGUGAGAUCCUCGGAUUGGUCCGGAAGUGACCGCAAGGUUGCCUCUAGGUUCUGAGAAGACGAUCAAACUUGAUCAUUUAGAGGAAGUAAAAGUCGUAACAAGGUU
rnacentral:rRNA from 1 species